GACGAACGCUGGCGGCGUGCUUAACACAUGCAAGUCGAACGAUGACGACCGAGCUUGCUCGGUCUGAUUAGUGGCGAACGGGUGAGUAACACGUGAGCAACCUGCCCUUCACUCUGGGAUAACCUCGGGAAAUCGGGGCUAAUACCGGAUAUGAGCUCCUGUCGCAUGGCGGGUGUUGGAAAGUUUUUCGGUGAAGGAUGGGCUCGCGGCCUAUCAGUUUGUUGGUGAGGUAGUGGCUCACCAAGGCGAUGACGGGUAGCCGGCCUGAGAGGGCGACCGGCCACACUGGGACGGGGAAACGGCCCAGACUCCUACGGGAGGCAGCAGUGGGGAAUAUUGCACAAUGGGCGAAAGCCUGAUGCAGCGACGCCGCGUGAGGAUGACGGCCUUCGGGUUGUAAACCUCUUUCAGCAGGGAAGAAGCGAAAGUGACGGUACCUGCAGAAGAAGCGCCGGCUAACUACGUG
rnacentral:rRNA from 1 species